GAUGAAGAACGUAGCGAAAUGCGAUAAGUAAUGUGAAUUGCAGAAUCCAGUGAAUCAUCGAAUCUUUGAACGCACAUUGCGCCCGCCAGCAUUCUGGCGGGCAUGCCUGUUCGAGCGUCAUUUCAACCCUCGACCUCCCUUUGGGGAAGUCGGCGUUGGGGACCGGCAGCACACCGCCGGCCCUGAAAUGGAGUGGCGGCCCGUCCGCGGCGACCUCUGCAUAGUAAACCAACUCGCACCGGAACCCCGACGUGGCCACGCCGUAAAACACCCAACUUCUGAACGUUGACCUCGAAUCAGGUAGGACUACCCGCUGAACUUAAGCAUAUCAAUAAGCGGAGGA
rnacentral:misc_RNA from 1 species